rnacentral:sRNA from 1 species
CGUACCUGUCCGUUCAAAUUCACUGGCAGAGGUGGAGGAACCAGAAGUGGCGCCAGCGGCGCCUUGGGGUGAAGUGCGGCUAGUUGUCCGCGGCGUUCUGCUGCGGUCCCGGCCGGGCCGAGAUGCUCCGUCUCGAAUCCGACAGCUAACUUCGCAGGCGUGUAGAGAGGAAUC